rnacentral:rRNA from 1 species
AGUAACGCGUGAGGAACCUGCCUCAAAGAGGGGGACAACAGUUGGAAACGACUGCUAAUACCGCAUAAGCCCACGGCUCGGCAUUGAGCAGAGGGAAAAGGAGCAAUCCGCUUUGAGAUGGCCUCGCGUCCGAUUAGCUAGUUGGUGAGGUAAUGGCCCACCAAGGCGACGAUCGGUAGCCGGACUGAGAGGUUGAACGGCCACAUUGGGACUGAGACACGGCCCAG